rnacentral:piRNA from 1 species
UACAUAGUGAGGUGGUAUGUGUGUGUAGC